GAUGAAGAACGCAGCGAAAUGCGAUAAGUAAUGUGAAUUGCAGAAUUCAGUGAAUCAUCGAAUCUUUGAACGCACAUUGCGCCCGUCAGUAUUCUGGCGGGCAUGCCUGUUCGAGCGUCAUUACGCCCCUCAAGUCCCCUGUGGACUUGGUGUUGGGGAUCGGCGAGGCUGGUUUUCCAGCACAGCCGUCCCUUAAAUUAAUUGGCGGUCUCGCCGUGGCCCUCCUCUGCGCAGUAGUAACACACUCGCAACAGGAGCCCGGCGCGGUCCACUGCCGUAAAACCCCCCAACUUUUUAUAGUUGACCUCGAAUCAGGUAGGACUACCCGCUGAACUUAAGCAUAUCAAUAAGCGGAGGA
rnacentral:misc_RNA from 1 species